rnacentral:rRNA from 1 species
AGUGAACGCUGGCGGUAGGCCUAACACAUGCCAGUCGAACGGCAGCACAGUAAGAGCUUGCUCUUACGGGUGGCGAGUGGCGGACGGGUGAGGAAUACAUCGGAAUCUACUUUUUCGUGGGGGAAAACGUAGGGAAACUUACGCUAAUACCGCAUACGACCUACGGGUGAAAGCAGGGGAUCUUCGGACCUUGCGCGAUUGAAUGAGCCGAUGUCGGAUUAGCUAGUUGGCGGGGUAAAGGCCCACCAAGGCGACGAUCCGUAGCUGGUCUGAGAGGAUGAUCAGCCACACUGGAACUGAGACACGGUCCAGACUCCUACGGGAGGCAGCAGUGGGGAAUAUUGGACAAUGGGCGCAAGCCUGAUCCAGCCAUACCGCGUGGGUGAAGAAGGCCUUCGGGUUGUAAAGCCCUUUUGUUGGGAAAGAAAAGCAGCAGGUUAAUACCCCGCUGUUCUGACGGUACCCAAAGAAUAAGCACCGGCUAACUUCGUG